CCCAGUCCUUCUGUUUCUCGACCCUAGGCCAUCUAUCAUGUUUUUCAGUGCAGGAUAGCCAAAAAAAAGUUGCGACCAUGAGGAAGAAGCGGCGGAGCUCGGCAGAGCCACUGAAUCGGAAAGCCAUAACCACCGGUAAGCUUUGGUUUUCUUUAUUUUUCCACCGACAAACAUCGCUUAACCCCGAAAUAAAUAGGUUUU
rnacentral:lncRNA from 1 species